AGCCAGACUCCUACGGGAGGCAGCAGUGGGGAAUAUUGCACAAUGGGGGAAACCCUGGUGCAGCGACGCCGCGUGAGUGAAGAAGUAUUUCGGUAUGUAAAGCUCUAUCAGCAGGGAAGAAAAUGACGGUACCUGACUAAGAAGCCCCGGCUAACUACGUGCCAGCAGCCGCGGUAAUACGUAGGGGGCAAGCGUUAUCCGGAUUUACUGGGUGUAAAGGGAGCGUAGACGGCAUGGCAAGUCAGAUGUGAAAGCCCGGGGCUCAACCCCGGGACUGCAUUUGAAACUGUCAGGCUGGAGUGCAGGAGAGGUAAGUGGAAUUCCUAGUGUAGCGGUGAAAUGCGUAGAUAUUAGGAGGAACACCAGUGGCGAAGGCGGCUUACUGGACUGUAACUGACGUUGAGGCUCGAAAGCGUGGGGAGCAAACAGGAUUAGAUACCCCAGUCA
rnacentral:rRNA from 1 species